AACUUUUUUUUUUUUUUUUUACACUGUUGUUUUUAUUCAUCUGAUGAUUUCUCAUCCAACCCUACUCUCCAUCGUCCUCUUGCAAAAUUAAAAAAUCUCUCCCCAAAAAUAUCAAUUCUAACUGUGAAAUUGAAAUCCUCAGAAGAUCGUUUAAUCUUUUUUUCUCUAUUAUUGUUUGAAUAUCUUUCUUUUUGUUGUUAAUCGCUUGUUUCUUUCGCCCCUCGCUUGGUUCAAAUUCGACGAACAAGAGGAAAUUUUUCAUAGAAAGUAUACUGUAACACCUUUAUCCUACUUUAUCUCUUGCCUUUUGUUGAGUAUGCUUUUUUGAUUUCUAUAUUCCUAUUUCUCUUCGAUCGAUCUCUACUUUGUGUUUAGGAUUUUCUAAAUUGUAUUGAGAUUUUCUGUCAUCUCCAUCUUUUGCUUGUUCUUUUGUGUAUUUGUUCGAUUUUUAGAUCUGCAUUUUGUUAAUUAUUUUCGUGUUGGGGUUUUUUCGAACUCUGUACGAGUUUCUAUUUCAUUUUUUCCAUCUCUUCUUUCUACAUGUGUACAUCUUCGGCUUUUUUCUUACCUCUAUUUUAUUUAUUUUAUUAUUUGUUUUAUAUGUUUUGGGCUUUUCUCAGAUUUGUUCUACAUGGUUAAAUUAAAUUUAUUCGAGUUGUUCACAUGAAAAGUUCCAUUGGAAGUAAUUUUUCGUAAAUAAUUGCUCCUUUAAACUAUAGUAGGCUUCUAGGGGGAUUUCUUUCUAAAUUUAAUGAUGCCCGUUUUGGAAGAGACUCAAAAUUUAUACUUGAACAAGGAUUCAUCAUUUAGAGCUGUUAUUAAGAAGAAAUGUAGCUUAAAUGCUACCAAUGUUGGUAAAGAGGUUGGCUUUGCCCCUAAUAUUUAGGUUGAACGUUUUAUUUUGGUGGUUUUACUUUCUCGCCCUUCAAUUUCUACAAUAGACAUUUACAGUAUUAUGUUUGUUCAAUUUCAAGAGAACAAAGGUCUUCAAUUGAUCAAGACAACCAUUGCUAAAGUAGGUUAUACAGCAAAAGUUCCUUCUUCCCUUUUCUUUUCACGUAUGUGUUCAGUUCAUUCAAUGUUCUAUAAUCACCUUGUAUUUCUUCUGUCUUCACCUUGUGAAAGAGUAAAACUUCUAAGGCUUGCUCCUUCCUUCUACUCAAGUUGUCAUUGGAAUAAUGUUGCUGCAUCAGAAUUUUAUAGAUUGGACAAGACUUAUGAUUUGAAAUUGUCAAGGCAAUGGAUGCAAGCAAUCCUGUCAUUUAAGCUCAAUUCGUAUUAUCGAAGGUUCUGACUACAUUAGGAUAUCAAAGCAGCUUUGAAAAUCAGGUCUACUCCAAAUUCAUUCUGAUUUCAAAUGCUUAACUAAUUUAUUUUUUGAAUCUGGCAGCUGAUCUUGCCUUUUUUGCAGUUGGAUAUAAACUACUAUGACCUUGGCCUUCCCCAGUGGGAUGUUACUAAUGACUAGAAAACCAUUCAAGUUGCAUAAGCUACUUUUAAGUUUGACAUCCUAUGUUCUCGAUUUUGAAUAAAUAUUGAACUUCUAAUAAUAGGGCUUCAAUAUCUUCAUUUUCUCAUUUGCUUCACAAUAUUUGCAGUAGAGAUAAAAUUUUCAACAUCUGUAUUUUUAAGUUUUCUAUUACAAUUUUCGUAAAUAUUUAUUCGUUCUUCUUCUUAGUUGAUAGUUGUUUUGUACAUUGAAAAUGUUGGCUCAAUUUAGUAAUUAAAUGUGCCACCAUUUCUCCUGGUAGGCACAACUCAUCUUAAAUUGUUCGAUGCUAUGCGUCAUUUUAUCUUUAAAUUAUGAAUCAGAUCAUUAUCCUUUCUACACAUUAAGGCUUUGUUUGCCUAUCAUUAUACAAUAUUGUUUUUUGUACAAUACUCAUUUUUAACCACAUAUUCUUCAAUAAAAAAAUAUUACACGUAAAUAAAAAAAUUUCCUUCUUUUUGAACCACACAUUUCAAUAUCAAUUACUGUUCUAUGAUAUAUUCUUCACAAAUAAUGGGGCACAAACAUCCCCUAAUAAAAGAGGAAAUGUGGUGUGCACUGUUCAUUUUUGUCCCCUCCUGUUCAUCAAAAUAUAUUUGGUAUAUAUUAUAUAUAUGUCUUUUGUACCUCUUGUAAGACCAUUUAUACCUUCCUAAUCUCUCCAAAGAAUCGUAGGCAGCCAUUAACUCCGAUAGACUUCAACGACGAGGACGACAAAGACGAAGACAUGACGAAUAAGGUUUCGGCGCGAUACCUGGUGUUGGAUAAGUUUUUGUUUUGGGUUCUCUAUUUUCCUUCUUUCUAAUCUUACUUUCUAAGUUUAGUCGACAUAUUUCUUUGCUUAAAUUUGCAGGUUUUGAGUAUAUAUGAUAUCUGGGCAUCUCAUAAAUAGCUUAAAUAGUUCUUUAGUUUUGGGAAUUCCAUAUUCUGAUUUUUUGAGACAUUUCAUAAAAUAUUUAUCAUCAAGAUGGUCGAAGUAUUAUGCUACCGUAGAAUAUUGUAAAGAGUUUUUUUGAUCUCAGGGCCACCACUAAGAUACAUUGAUCAGAAUUCUUUGGUGGAAAGGCCAAGGGGUUUGCCUUCGGUCAGAUAGAGGACCAUGCAAAAAUUCCGAGAUACAAAAGAUGGUGCUUGAUGGUGAAGCACGACUGGCAGGAAGGUGGUUGAAAUUCUUAACGACGACAAAGAGAUAGUUUAUGCUGAGCAACACUACUUGAUUGUAUAGACUAUGUCUGUUGUGCAUAUGAUUAGGCACAACUGCACAAUAUUUCUGUUUUAUGUGAGAUUUUUUUUUUAUUUAGUUGUUGAAGCAGGUAAAGGCAGUGACACCUCAACUGUUGAAUCUGGUUCUGAAGCUGAAAAAUAUUUCUUCACCAAAAGCUAUUCAGAGUUACUCGCACCUUUGAUUGACUCAUGUUCGUGAGGAGGUUAAAGCUAAUGGAAACUCUAGCUCGGCAACUUAUCACGAUAUGAUGAGUACGUUCCUAUGGUUGACAAAGUUGUUGAUUCUGGAUGGAAAAAGCAUAAAUCACUUUCAAAACCUUAUAUUUUUUAAGGUAUAAGAUAAGAGAGAAGGAAAAAAUUGUUCAAGCAUAUUCUUCUUAGGAUCUUGAAGAAAUUUUUAGCUUUGGUAAAAGAAGAGGAUGCUUGAUAAACCCAUCUAAGAAACUGGAAGGAAAAUGACUUUUUACAGGCACAAGAAAAGAAACUUAUUGUGGAGAUUAAAAAAAAUGUAAAGCAAGGACAGAUGGCGACACCUGAAUUUGAAUAGGGGAAAAAGGAUUCUAUGCGCAGUCGUGAAAGCUAGAACAGGCCAUUCGCCAGGGAGAUUUUGAAAUUGCGGAGGCUUGGUUUGAUCAAGCAUAACAUAGGUGUUAUGGGUAGAAUUUUGUUCACAUCUUAGAUCUAGGAAUUUACUCAGUUUCCAUGAAGGGGUCGAAUUCGUUAUGUAUGGAUGAUGAGAUUCCAUUGAUACAGAGCCAAUUCCAAUGGACUUAUUGGAGGGUCCCGUUGGCGUGCAUCCGGGCUGUGUCUCAGUCCUAGUGUGAGUGAUCAUCCGAAAAGACCAGGUAAGCAUCAUGGGGCCCGCUAUGCCAAAAAUGAGAGAAACCCCAUUCCUGCAUCUUCCGAGUCAUACCCGAAAUGAGUACUUUGCCCUGGAGAUCUAAAUCCAAAGCAGUUUCUAUCCCUUAUGGCAGUUAUAGGAAUUAAUGAAUUGCUUCUUUCAUCAAUACUCAUUGAAUGAGACAUCCAUUUUGAAUACACUGGAACUCAAUGAGACAAAUUAAUGGUCCAUAAAACUUGAAAAAAUAGAAAGAAAGAAAAAAAAAGUGAUUGAGACAACAACGUGGUAGCCAAAAGAGAUCAACACAUUUUGUAAUUCUUACUUCUAAGGCCAUCUCCAACUGGUGCCAUGUCGCACCAUUUUGGUGGAAAAUGGUACAACACUGUUCAUUGCAUUUUUUGAUGAUUUUUAUUGAUCAAGCGACACGCAAAUUUGAAUAGAGGGAAAAUGAUUCUAUGCGCAGACGUGAAAGCUAGAACAAGCCAUUAGCUAGAAAGAUUCUGAAAUUGUGGAGGCUUGGUUUGAUCAAGCAGUGACAUAGGUGUUAUAGGUAGAAUUUUGUUCACAUCUUAGAUCUAGGAAUUUACUCAUCUUCCAUAAAGGAUCCGAAUUCGUUAUGUAUGGAUGAUGAGAUUCUAUUGAUACAGAGCCAAUUCCAAUAGACGUAUUGCAGAGUCCCAUUGGCAUGCAUCUGAGUUGUGUCUCAAUCCCAGUGUGGCCGAUCGUCCGUAAAGACCGGCUAAGCAUCAUGGGGACCGCUAUGCCAAAAGUGAGAGAAACCCCAUCCGUGCAUCUUCCGAGUCAUGCCCGGAAUGAGUACUUUGCCCUUAAGAUCUAUCCAAAGCAGUUCCUGCCCCUUCUGACAGUUAUCAGAAUUAAUGAGUUGCUUCUUUCAUCAAUACUCAUUGAUUGACACAUCCAUUUUGAUUACAUUGGAGCUCAAUGAAACAAAUUAAUGGUCUACAAAACCUGAAAAGUAGAAAGAAAGAAAGAAAGAAAAGCAUUGAGACAUGUGGUAGCCAAAAGAGAUCAACACAUUUUGUAGUUCUAACUUCUAAGGCCAUCUCCAAUUGGUGCCCUAUUGCUAUGGCUGGGCAAAUCUCUCGAACCGAACCGAUCAAA